GUUGUGGUGGCUCAGUGGUUAAGGUUUCAUGUCAUAAAAGAGAAGGUCAUGUGUUCAAAUCCCAGCACCACCA